rnacentral:rRNA from 1 species
UACGUAGGGAGCAAGCGUUGUCCGGAAUCAUUGGGCGUAAAGCGCGCGUAGGCGGCCCUGUAAGUCCGUUGUGAAAGUCAAAGGCUCAACCUUUGAAAGCCGAUGGAUACUGCAGGGCUGGAGUCCGGAAGAGGCGAGUGGAAUUCCUGGUGUAGCGGUGGAAUGCGCAGAUAUCAGGAGGAACACCAAUAGCGAAGGCAGCUCGCUGGGACGGUACUGACGCUAAGGCGCGAAAGCGUGGGGAGCGAACGAGGA